rnacentral:rRNA from 1 species
UGGCUAGGACGAACGCUGGCGGCGUGCCUAAUACAUGCAAGUCGAACGGUCUUUCUAUGGAAGCUUGCUUCCACUGAGAAGAUAGUGGCGAACGGGUGAGUAACACGUGGGUAACCUGCCCAUAAGAGGGGGGAUAACAUCCGGAAACGGGUGCUAAUACCGCAUAGUUUUCUUGAUCGCAUGAUCGGGAAAGGAAAGACGGCCUUUGUGCUGUCGCUUAUGGAUGGACCCGCGGCGUAUUAGUUAGUUGGUGAGGUAACGGCUCACCAAGACGAUGAUACGUAGCCGACCUGAGAGGGUGAUCGGCCACAUUGGGACUGAGACACGGCCCAAACUCCUACGGGAGGCAGCAGUAGGGAAUCUUCCGCAAUGGACGAAAGUCUGACGGAGCAACGCCGCGUGAGUGAAGAAAGGUUUUCGGAUCGUAAAACUCUGUUGUCAGAGAAGAACAAGUUGGAGAGUAACUGCUCCAGCCUUGACGGUAUCUGACCAGAAAGCCACGGCUAACUACGUGCCAGCAGCGGC